UCCACCGCGGCUCACAAUGACGGCUCACUGUCCCGCGGUCCCGUGAAGCCGAAGAGACGAUGAUGAAUUAAUUUCUUAUGCUGAUUUGAGCUGUUACGGAAACUGGAACUAGUGUUCUAGUUUGUGUUCAACGCGGACUCUUUAUAGCGCUGCACGCUCGCUCUCUCAGCCCGCGGGUUUCGGAACAAGAAGCAAGAAGCGCGAAUCGUUAAAAAUCCAGUCCGUGCAGGGUCAGGGACAGACUUCAUCGUUUCAUUUUAAGCACUCGUGAAAAAUGAAGCUUUCACUCAUAAUGAGACAGGAGCACAGCUUUCAGUGUCACAGCUGGGAACAACAUCAGCUGACGUGAAAGAAAAACAGACAUUCGUUCCCUGUUAACAAGAUGAAGAUGGAGAGCGUGAGGAAGCUACAGAGAGGAUGAGGAGGAGGACACGGGCUACAUCAGCAGGAUCGAGGACGACCCCCCCCCCCAAGUCUGAGGACGUUCCCCGCCACAUGAAUGGGGGACAGGAGGCGCAGCUUCCAGCCCAGCUGGUGGGAAAGUCCUCCGUGGGUGGACUUCUCUGUAACUAUGGACUCUGCCUGUUGUCAUGCGUGCAGACGUUUCAGUCCAUAGACAUUUCAGCCAGUGCUUUUUAAACAUUAACUGUGCACAUGUGCGGGAUGUGAAAUCUUCUGUUUCAUUGUUAAAUGUUCAUUCACUUUGUUUGUGCUCCAAAUAAAUUCCCUUCAUAGAUGAAGCGGUUCAGUUUUGUCCUCUUGGUUUGGUUCAAUGCCCCCAUGAAAAAACACCCUGAG
ensembl:lncRNA